rnacentral:rRNA from 1 species
GACGAACUGUCCUAACGUUGUUCGGAAUUAUUGGGCGUAAAGCGCACGUAGGCGGCUUUGCAAGUCGGAUGUGAAAUCCCUCGGCUUAACCAAGGAAGUGCAUCCGAAACUGCAGAGCUUGAGUACUUAAGAGGAUCGCGGAAUUCCCGGUGUAGAGGUGAAAUUCGUAGAUAUCGGGAGGAACACCAGUGGCGAAGGCGGCGAUCUGGGAAGAUACUGACGCUGAGGUGCGAAAGCGUGGGGAGCAAACAGG